AGUGAACGCUGGCGGUAGGCCUAACACAUGCAAGUCGAACGGCAGCACAGUAAGAGCUUGCUCUUACGGGUGGCGAGUGGCGGACGGGUGAGGAAUACAUCGGAAUCUACUUUUUCGUGGGGGAUAACGUAGGGAAACUUACGCUAAUACCGCAUACGACCUACGGGUGAAAGCAGGGGAUCUUCGGACCUUGCGCGAUUGAAUGAGCCGAUGUCGGAUUAGCUAGUUGGCGGGGUAAAGGCCCACCAAGGCGACGAUCCGUAGCUGGUCUGAGAGGAUGAACAGCCACACUGGAACUGAGACACGGUCCAGACCCCUACGGGAGGCAGCAGUGGGGAAUAUUGGACAAUGGGCGCAAGCCUGAUCCAGCCAUACCGCGUGGGUGAAGAAGGCCUUCGGGUUGUAAAGCCCUUUUGUUGGGAAAGAAAAGCAGCAGGUUAAUACCCCGCUGUUCUGACGGUACCCAAAGAAUAAGCACCGGCUAACUUCGUG
rnacentral:rRNA from 1 species